rnacentral:rRNA from 1 species
CUGCAACUCGCCUGCAUGAAGUCGGAAAUUGCUAGUAAUCGCAGAUCAGCAUGCUGCGGUGAAUACGUUCCCGGGCCUUGUACACACCGCCCGUCACACCAUGGGAGUCGGUAACACCCGAAGUCGGUAGCCUAACCGUAAGGAGGGCGCCGCCGAAGGUGGGAUUGAUGACUGGGGUGAAGUCGUAACAAGGUAUC